GAUGAACGCUGGCGGCGUGCUUAACACAUGCAAGUCGAACGAUGAAGCCCAGCUUGCUGGGUGGAUUAGUGGCGAACGGGUGAGUAACACGUGAGUAACCUGCCCUUAACUCUGGGAUAAGCCUGGGAAACUGGGUCUAAUACCGGAUAGGAGCGUCCACCGCAUGGUGGGUGUUGGAAAGAUUUAUCGGUUUUGGAUGGACUCGCGGCCUAUCAGCUUGUUGGUGAGGUAAUGGCUCACCAAGGCGACGACGGGUAGCCGGCCUGAGAGGGUGACCGGCCACACUGGGACUUGGAAACGGCCCAGAAUCCUACGGGAGGCAGCAGUGGGGAAUAUUGCACAAUGGGCGCAAGCCUGAUGCAGCGACGCCGCGUGGGGGAUGACGGCCUUCGGGUUGUAAACCUCUUUCAGUAGGGAAGAAGCGAAAGUGACGGUACCUGCAGAAGAAGCACCGGCUAACUACGUG
rnacentral:rRNA from 1 species